rnacentral:lncRNA from 1 species
CGUCCCAUCUACUUGCUGCUUCACAUUUAGCAGUAAGAAGAUCUCCUUGCAGAGGCUGAAGAGCUAUGUGAUCACCACCAGCAGCUUCAGAACCAAACUGGGCAAGGAGAUCUGUGCUGACCCAAAGGAGAAGUGGGUCCAGAAUUAUAUGAAACACCUGGGCCGGAAAGCUCACACCCUGAAGACUUGAACUCUGCUACCCCUACUGAAAUCAAGCUGGAGUACGUGAAAUGACUUUUCCAUUCUCCUCUGGCCUCCUCUUCUAUGCUUUGGAAUACUUCUACCAUAAUUUUCAAAUAGGAUGCAUUCGGUUUUGUGAUUCAAAAUGUACUAUGUGUUAAGUAAUAUUGGCUAUUAUUUGACUUGUUGCUGGUUUGGAGUUUAUUUGAGUAUUGCUGAUCUUUUCUAAAGCAAGGCCUUGAGCAAGUAGGUUGCUGUCUCUAAGCCCCCUUCCCUUCCACUAUGAGCUGCUGGCAGUGGGUUUGUAUUCGGUUCCCAGGGGUUGAGAGCAUGCCUGUGGGAGUCAUGGACAUGAAGGGAUGCUGCAAUGUAGGAAGGAGAGCUCUUUGUGAAUGUGAGGUGUUGCUAAAUAUGUUAUUGUGGAAAGAUGAAUGCAAUAGUAGGACUGCUGACAUUUUGCAGAAAAUACAUUUUAUUUAAAAUCUCCUA